UAUAUAUAAGGUGAUGUUGUUUUGUUGAUCAGUUGAUUUCAUCGUAAAUCGUUGAAGGAAGUUCAGUUGUACUGAAGUGGCCAUAGAAAGAUAAAAUGAAGUUCGUAUUGAUGAUGCUGGUAUUUCUUGUCAUAGCCACAGAUAAUGUGAUUUCUCAAUGUCCUAAUUGUCCUUGUAAUCGGAGAUAUGAACCAGUUUGUUCAAGCUAUGGUGUAACUUUUGAAAAUGAAUGUUUAAUGCGAUGCUAUCGUCAAGAUUAUGGUUGCCGUGGUUCAUGUCCAUGUAUAACACCUUAACAUGUAUCAGACAAAGCACCAAAUGAGACUGUCAGCACCAAGUGAGACUGAUAAUUAAAAUAAAAUUUAUUAGAAUUAAAAAAAAACAAAAAAAACAA